GAAAAUGUAAAGAAAAAUGGAGAGGCAACUGAGUAUUCUGAUUUGGACAAGAUUUUGAAAGCAAUGGACUCUUUGUCUAAAACCAUGGAUGACCUUCUACUGCAAAGUAAACUGAAGCUCUGUGACCUCAUCAUCUGUGUUGGUCGGUCCUGCAGUGUUGCAGCUCUGAAAGUCCAAGAUGGCCAUAAGCAGCAGCAGUAGUACACAUCAUAAAGAACAGAAAAACGUUUCUCUGACCUUGUCCACUUUUGUAAGAGCUACCUCUGCCUCCCGCCUGGUCAUCAC